CCUACGGGAGGCAGCAGUGAGGAAUAUUGGUCAAUGGACGCAAGUCUGAACCAGCCAUGCCGCGUGCAGGAAGACGGCUCUAUGAGUUGUAAACUGCUUUUGUACGAGGGUAAACGCAGAUACGCGUAUCUGUCUGAAAGUAUCGUACGAAUAAGGAUCGGCUAACUCCGUGCCAGCAGCCGCGGUAAUACGGAGGAUUCAAGCGUUGUCCGGAUUUAUUGGGUUUAAAGGGUACGUAGGCGGUCGGAUAAGUUAGAGGUGAAAUUCCGAGGCUUAACUUCGGAAUUGCCUCUGAUACUGUUCGGCUAGAGAGUAGUUGCGGUAGGCGGAAUGUAUGGUGAAGCGGUGAAAUGCUUAGAGAUCAUACAGAACACCGAUUGCGAAGGCAGCUUACCAAGCUACUUCUGACGUUGAGGGACGAAAGCGUGGGGAGCAAACAGGAUUAGAUACCCUGGUAGUC
rnacentral:rRNA from 1 species